AAAAUUUAAAUGGCCGCGGUAUUUUGACCGUGCAAAGGUAGCAUAAUCAUUAGUUUUUUAAUUGAAAGCUGGUAUGAAUGGUUGGACGAGAAAAUUACUGUCUCAAUUUAAUUUAAUUAGAAUUUUAUUUUUAAGUUAAAAAGCUUAAAUUUAUUUAAAAGACGAGAAGACCCUAUAGAGUUUAAUAUUAAAAUUAAUAUAUUUUUUUAUAAUUUUAAAAAUUAAUUUUAAUAUUUUAUUGGGGUGAUAAAUAAAUUUAAUAAACUUUAUUUUUUUAUAAACAUAAAUUUAUGAUUUAAUGAUCCAUUAUUAAUGAUUAUAAGAUUAAAUUACCUUAGGGAUAACAGCGUUAUCUUUUUAGAGAGUUCAAAUCGAAAAAAGGGAUUGCGACCUCGAUGUUGGAUUAAAAUUAAUUUUUGGUGUAGAAGCUAAAAAUAUUGAGUCUGUUCGACUUUUAAAAUUUUACAUGAUCUGAGUUUAAACCGGCGUGAGCCAGGUUGGUUUCUAUCUUUAAAAAUUUUAAAUAUUUUAGUACGAAAGGACCAAAUAUUUAUAAAAUUUAUUAAUAUUUGAAUAU
rnacentral:rRNA from 1 species